UUCUUCGGUUCUUCGGUUCUUCGGAUUGGAGGGAUCAAACCUGUAGUAAGUUAUACAGCUUAUACUUUUUUGGCCUUGGCAACAAGAAAUACAAAAAAAAAAUGUUAAAUCAGAUUGCAUCAUAUUGCAUCAUAUUUCCCUGAAAUUCAACAUGCAUCCAGCAAUUCGGUCUCAUCCCUCGUGGGACCCCAACGUCCACUUGUUCUACUAAUUGGAAGGAGGAAUAGAAGCGGUGGCGAGCAACGAUGGCGUCCGAAAUUUCUACUUGAUGCAUGGUGCUGAAAAUGAAGCUAGAACACUAGAUAAGCUUUAAAAACUUACUCCGCUCUCUCUUCUCUUCUCUUUUGACCCAUUGGAAUCUUCAUGUAGUGAUGUUUUAGUGCUUCUCAAUUCUGGACAGAAGUGGGAAUUUAGAAAGUGCGAACAUUCAUUGUUGGAAGCAUAGCGGUAAAAAUCUUCCCACCAUUCUGGCGUCAUUUUGAGUUCUGAGUUGCAUAUAUAAGGAUCAGUUUGGUUGUUAGCCGCAAUAUGGCAGCAAUUGAAGCUAGGAUACAAGGGAUGAAGAAAACGUGUUAAAGCAUUCAAAUUGCAGUGACUGUUGGAAGCAUGGUAAUGUGGUAAUUGGAGGCAGUAAUAUUGAGUUAUGUGCACUGUGAUGUUAUUGAACUCUUGUUCUUGAUUGUACAAAUAAGGUGGCUUGGUUCUGAACUUGAAUUGUAUAGCAAAGAAAUUUGGAUUCUGCUUUUGGUUAUAUGUUGCUCAUUGUGUUUCAUUAUGGGCUGCUGGAAUUUGCAGCAAGUAACAGCUUUAAUUGGUGAAAGAGUAAAGGAAAAAAGGAAGAAACUUGAGGAAAAUGGCACCAAGAAGGCGAAGUUAAUCUAGCAAAUCAACUAGAAACCCAUCUGAUAGGAGUUUGAUUAAUGCUAUUGAAGGAAUGGCUGCUGCAAUGCGAGAGCAAGCAGAAGCAAUGGCUACUGCUAGUAGAGAACAAACUAUCGCUACUGCAUGCUUGGUCUAGAUGUUUCAGGACCCAAAGAUGAGGAUUCAAAUCCUGUUGAGAAUCAAGAAGGGGAUCUAGAAGAACAAUUGCCUACUAAUGAAACAUAUAAUGCACCAAAUUCUAUGCAAAACCAAAAUUUCCAUGGUUUGGUUGAAUUUAGGAAGGCUAAGCCACCAUCUUUUCAAGGAGUGUACAAUCCUGAUGUUGCAGAUGAGUGAUUGGAGCACAUGGAGAAAAUUUUUGAGUUUAUGGGAUGUUUUGAUACCUAAAAGGUAUCUUUUGCAACUUAUAUGUUGGUUGGAGAAGCAUACAAUUUGUGGAAGGAGACUAAACGGACAAUGGAAGCUCAUGAAGUGGAAAUCACUUGGGAAGGAUUUAAGAUGGCUUUUCUUGACAAGUAUUUUUUGGAGAACGUGAAACAUGAGAAAGAAAUUGAAUUUUUGCAUCUGGUUCAAGGGAUGAUGACCGUGGAUCAAUAUGUUGCCAAGUUUGAGAUGCUGUCAAAGUACUCAUCUUUCUUACAUACUAAUCCUGCCAAGUCAUAGAAGGCUAGGGAGUUUGAAGUAGGAUUGAGAUUUGAUAUUCAAAGAGCAAUGAUUGCAAUGGAGAUACAAGAUUUUACUAUACUAGUGAAUAAGUGUAGAGUUGUGGAGAAGCAGUUGAUGGAGGUUGAAUGGGAUAAGCAAAGGAAGAAUUUUUGGAACAAACGCAAAAUGGGCAACCUUCAGAAAAAGAACUUCAAACCCUUAAUCAAUUACGAGAAAAGUAGGACUUUAACCCCUUAUAGCAAAUGUGGUAAAUCACACAAGAAUCAACAUUGCUACCUUAGUCAAAAUGUUUGCUACAAAUGUGGGAAGGCUGGCCAUUAUAUGAAGCAAUGUCCACAGAAUAAGGGUAAGGCACUUGAGGGGAAGAAUUCUAUUCAAAGGCCAAUGACAAAAGGGAGGGUCUUUACUAUGAGAGGAAAGGAAGCAAAGAAAUCCACGAACCUGGUACAAGGUGCUGAUACUCUGGAUCGUUUUCAAGGCUGAUUGUCUACUCUGCCAUCAUCAUGUAGGGUUUUUAUGCGAAUAAGUUUGGGAUUGUGAUUUUGGAUGUAACAUAAUUCUAAUCCUUCAUGCACCAUAACCCCAAGGUGUAAGACAAUUAUGUAAUGUGUUAUUUUGAUGUCAUAUGUAUAAACUGUAGAACUCUGACAGACAUAUCGUGUCUCUUUCCAAAAUGAAUGGCUUGUGAAUUUUUUGUUU